UACGAACCGUGCGAACGUUGUUCGGAAUCACUGGGCUUAAAGGGCGCGUAGGCGGCUCCGCAAGUCGGGGGUGAAAUCUUUCGGCUUAACCGGAAAAGUGCCUCUGAUACUGCGGAGCUCGAGGGAGGUAGGGGCGGACGGAACUUCCGGUGGAGCGGUGAAAUGCGUUGAUAUCGGAAGGAACGCCGGUGGCGAAAGCGGUCCGCUGGCCCUCUACUGACGCUGAGGCGCGAAAGCGUGGGGAGCAAAAGGG
rnacentral:rRNA from 1 species